rnacentral:lncRNA from 1 species
AGCGUUCCUUCCCUCUCGUAGAGGCUCAGGCGCAGGCACCGCCCCACGGCGAGGCGCGUCGCUUAGCAGAGCCCGCCCUGUCUCUGCGGCAGCCUAUCGACGCCAGCCCGCGGGCCGAUCCUGUUCCCGCCCCCGACCGGAGCCUUUCGGGUGGCUCCGCCCACAGCGGGCGUUUCCUCAAGCCACGCCUGCGCAGGUCGUCGGUAAGUGGCCCGGGUUAGCUUCCUCAUAAGGCAUCGUUUCCGUGGGUGGGGUCCGUCAGUGCCCAGGCAGCUGGCACUCUCAGCCUUUGCUGCCUGCUCACUUCGGGGGAGUCCGGUCUGGGCUUGUCAGUACCUUGGGUUCCUCCCCUUUUCCCAGACCCUGCCCUACAAUUUCCUGUUGUUACGUUUGCCAGUUACUGUUUUGGUCACACACAAACGCACUCAUACACACAUACACAUGCAUACACACAAACAGCCUAACUACAAUACUAAACAAAUUUUUGAAAGAAAAAAAGAAACCACCUACAAUCCCACCACUUUAACACCUCAUUUAACGUUUGCAUACUUUUUGGUCACUGUUCAUUAUAAACAUAGCUUUUCCUCAUUAGUUAAUCUGUGUAAUGGAGAUAGAUAUGCUUACCUUUUAGGGCUGCCGGGAUCAUAUGUAAAGUUCUUAAAGGUAGUUGGGCACACAGUAUGCACUCAACUGAUUAUUUAUUUAUUUAUUGAGACAGGAUCUCACUCUGUCGCCCAGGCUGGAGUGCAGUGGUGCGAUUCUCGGCUCACUGCAGCUUCCACCUCCAGGGCUCAGGCGAUCCUUCCACCUCAGCCACCAAGCAGCUGGGAGUCCAGCUAGUUUUUUUGUAUUUUUUAUAGAGAUGGAGUUUCGCCAUGUUGCCCAGGCUGGUCUCAAACUCCUGGGCUCAAGCCAUCCACCCGCCUCGGCUUCCCAAAGUGCAGGGACUACAGGCAUGAGCCACCCAGCUCAUCCUACUCAAACAUUUAUUGAGUCCUUACUAAUAUGUUCUAGGCAACUUAUACUAUGAGUCCUCCAUUUUAUAGGGGGAGACUGAUGAAGAGACGACUAUCCCCAGACCGUAUUUUAACUACUAUGGCGCUGUGUAAGAAGCAACCUGAGAAGUGUGGAUGAAAAGCUACAGCUUCCCUGCUGAAAUACCUUAGUGAGAAUGCAUAAAAACCAACUCUAAAUGAUGCACAAAGCCACCGAGAGCUAAUCCUUGACAGAAACACUGGAAGGAUUUCUUCUCUGCAAAACUACCCUCUUCCUUCACGCUGAAUCAUCAGAAAGAGGAGCCGGCUGCAUCCCUAAAUUCAUCCCUUAUUUUAAUUAACCCAAGGAUGACAUGGAGGCCUUGGAGACCCUAUACAGUGCUGUGUGUUCAGCAGUAAAUAUCCACCCAUUGUAGUCAGGAGCCAGCAUCUUCAUCAUCCUUUCUUGUUAGAACAAACUUGUCCAACCCAUGGCCCAUGGGCCACAUGUGGCCUAGGACGGCUUUGAAUGCGGCCCAACACAAAUUUGUAAAGUUUCUUAAAACA